rnacentral:rRNA from 1 species
GACAGAGGGUGCGAACGUUGCUCGGAAUUACUGGGCGUAAAGCGCGUGUAGGUGGUCUGGCGAGUCGGGUGUGAAAGCCCGGGGCUCAACCCCGGAAGGGCAUUCGAUACUACCAGACUGGAGUCCGGAAGAGGAGGGCGGAAUUCCCGGUGUAGAGGUGAAAUUCGUAGAUAUCGGGAGGAACACCAGUGGCGAAGGCGGCUCUCUGGGCAGAGACUGACACUGAGGCGCGAAAGCGUGGGAAGCAAACAGG